AAGUCGUGAUGUGGGCAAUUCCUCAAUAAACCUUUGUACCUCUCCCACGCCUCAUAAAGUGAUUCGCCCACUUGUUGCUCGAAAUUGGCUAUGGCCUUUUUCAACUU